rnacentral:rRNA from 1 species
UACGUAGGGGGCAAGCGUUGUCCGGAAUCAUUGGGCGUAAAGCGCGUGUAGGCGGUUCGGUAAGUCUGCUGUGAAAGUCCAGGGCUCAACCCUGGGAUGCCGGUGGAUACUGUCGGACUAGAGUACGGAAGAGGCGAGUGGAAUUCCCGGUGUAGCAGUGAAAUGCGUAGAUAUCGUGAGGAAGACCAGUUGCGAAGGCGGAUCUCUGGGCAGUUCCUGACACUGAGGCACGAAGGCCAGGGGAGCAAACGGG